GAUGAAGAACGUAGCGAAAUGCGAUAAGUAAUGCGAAUUGCAGAAUUUCCGUGAAUCAUCGAAUCUUUGAACGCACAUUGCGCCCGCCAGUAUUCUGGCGGGCAUGCCUGUUCGAGCGUCAUUUCAACCAUCAAGCCCCAGGCUUGUGUUGGAGCCCUGCGGCUGCCGCAGCCUCCCAAAACCAGUGGCGGGCUCGCUAUCACACCGAGUGCAGUAGUUUACUCUUCGCUCAGGGCGUGUGGCGGGUGCUAGCCGUAAAACCCCCAACUUCUCAAGGUUGACCUCGGAUCAGGUAGGAAUACCCGCUGAACUUAAGCAUAUCAAUAAGCGGAGGA
rnacentral:misc_RNA from 1 species